rnacentral:rRNA from 1 species
CCUACGGGGGGCAGCAGUGAGGAAUAUUGGUCAAUGGACGAGAGUCUGAACCAGCCAAGUAGCGUGAAGGAUGACUGCCCUAUGGGUUGUAAACUUCUUUUAUAUGGGAAUAAAAUGUUCCACGUGUGGGAUUUUGUAUGUACCAUAUGAAUAAGGAUCGGCUAACUCCGUGCCAGCAGCCGCGGUAAUACGGAGGAUCCGAGCGUUAUCCGGAUUUAUUGGGUUUAAAGGGAGCGUAGGUGGCUCGUUAAGUCAGUUGUGAAAGUUUGCGGCUCAACCGUAAAAUUGCAGUUGAAACUGGCAGUCUUGAGUACAGUAGAGGUGGGCGGAAUUCGUGGUGUAGCGGUGAAAUGCUUAGAUAUCACGAAGAACUCCGAUUGCGAAGGCAGUUCACUGGACUGCAACUGACACUGAGGCUCGAAAGUGUGGGUAUCAAACAGGAUUAGAUACCCGUGUAGUC